rnacentral:lncRNA from 1 species
UCCACUCAUUACAAUACCGCGUACCUGUCUUAUUUUUUACUAAAACAUUAUUCAUGUCAAUCUAAUAGUUUUCCCAUACCAAUUUAUUCCAAACAUGAAAAUCCAACAAUUUCAUUUCAUAAUCAAUGUGUAAAUUCUCAAGGGCACUUAGACUUUUUCCUGCAGCAGCUCCGGCAAGCUCGACGGCACUCGGCUCUCCGCCUCGACUUAUUGCGACAUUUUCUUUUGCAUUUUUUUAAGCAAUCUGCAACACAUGCAGUAUAAAAUUAGAAAUGUUUGUUUCAAAUCGACAAGGAUCAAUAUUCAAAAGAUGAUUUCAUUAGUUACCACGAUUUGGAGGUCUAUAUUUGUUGAUAUGACUGAUCGAAUCCCCUUUUGCAUCCUCCUAAAAAAGUUUGUGAAAAAACAAAAAAUAGAUAUUUUGAUAUAUCCAAAGCAACAUGCAUUAAUUAAACGAAAUAUUCGAAGAUGAUUUACUGCUUGGGACAGAAAUUUAUCUGUAGCUCCAUUGACUGAUUCUGCCUCAACGAAAUCCUGAAAAAGAAAAAAAAAAUGAAAAAUAAACAAACUUAGCAAACUAUAUAUAGUUUCUAACCAUACUUGAUUUAAUUUGUUUUCAAAAUUCUUGUCAUUUUUUUAUUAAUUCAGACAACUAUAUGAGAGGCAAUCGAAACGGGCUCGACGCUAACAAUAUUGAUGGGAGCAUUUCUUGUCAAAUUAACCUGUAUGAGUAGAAGGGAGAUCAGCAAAAUUGGCAGUAGCUUCAUCUCAGAAACACGAAUUUACAACAGAACUUAAAAAGAAUUUUUUGUUUUUAGCUUGUGAGAGAAUACAUACAUACAUAUAUACCUAUUUAUAGACAUCUAGCUAGUUCUG